UGUGAGAUUCAGGAGGUGAAGGAGCUCAGUGGACGUAUGAAUGGAGACCAGCCAAGUUAAACACACCUCCAACAUCCAGUGAAUACAGAAUCACAGUUACUGAGUCUGACAGUGGAGAUACAGCUGCCGGGGUAAAAGAAGCUUUUACUGGACGAAGUGGAGUGACGCAUUAACUGUAGUAUCGAAACCAAAGGCAGAACUGAGAGCUGAUAGGACAGCUGUUCCAGUAGGGGGCAGUGUGACCCUGACCUGCUCUGUGAGCCCAUCAUCAUCAUCAUCAUCAUCAUCUGGAUGGAAAUACUACUGGUACAGAGAUGGGAAAUCUUAUGAAGCUUUGACAAAUGGACUAAUCAGUGUCUCAGAGGGAGGACUCUACAGCUGCAGAGGAGGAAGAGGAGAACCAGUUUACUACACAGAGGACAGUGAGUCAGUCAGGAUUGUCACAACUGUGUCAAACAGGCCUGUUGUGACUCUGUAUCCAAACUGGUCUGAGAUAUACAGAGGAGAGACGAUCACUGUCAGAUGUGAGAUCCAUGGAGGAGACACUGAGUGGGAUUAUGAGUGGGAAACAAACAGCACCAUAAAACCUCCAAAUCAAAAUGAAUACAGGAUUAGAUCUGCUUCAUCAUCCAACA